rnacentral:rRNA from 1 species
CAGCCGCCGCGGUAAUACGUAGGGCGCAAGCGUUAUCCGGAAUUAUUGGGCGUAAAGAGCUCGUAGGCGGUUUGUCGCGUCUGCCGUGAAAGUCCGGGGCUCAACCCCGGAUCUGCGGUGGGUACGGGCAGACUAGAGUGAUGUAGGGGAGACUGGAAUUCCUGGUGUAGCGGUGAAAUGCGCAGAUAUCAGGAGGAACACCGAUGGCGAAGGCAGGUCUCUGGGCAUUAACUGACGCUGAGGAGCGAAAGCAUGGGGAGCGAACAGGAUUAGAUACCCGUGUAGUCCCUGUCUCUUAUAC